GUGAAAUUGUCGAAAGGGAAGCGCUUGAAGUCAGCCAUGCUGCUUGAGACUCAGCCUUGCUUUUGCUUGGUGUAUUUCUCGGUAGCAAGCCAGCAUUGGUUCGAGUCGUCGGAGAAGGGUAUGAGAAAUGUGGCAUCCUCGGAUGUGUUAUAGACUUGUACUGGAUACGACGAUUUGGAUCAAGGAACGCAGUGUGCCUCU
rnacentral:rRNA from 1 species